rnacentral:rRNA from 1 species
UUAAGCGACUAAGCGUACACGGUGGAUGCCCUGGCAGUCAGAGGCGAUGAAGGACGUGCUAAUCUGCGAUAAGCGUCGGUAAGGUGAUAUGAACCGUUAUAACCGGCGAUUUCCGAAUGGGGAAACCCAGUGUGUUUCGACACACUAUCAUUAACUGAAUCCAUAGGUUAAUGAGGCGAACCGGGGGAACUGAAACAUCUAAGUACCCCGAGGAAAAGAAAUCAACCGAGAUUCCCCCAGUAGCGGCGAGCGAACGGGGAGCAGCCCAGAGCCUGAAUCAGUGUGUGUGUUAGUGGAAGCGUCUGGAAAGGCGCGCGAUACAGGGUGACAGCCCCGUACACAAAAAUGCACAUGCUGUGAGCUCGAUGAGUAGGGCGGGACACGUGGUAUCCUGUCUGAAUAUGGGGGGACCAUCCUCCAAGGCUAAAUACUCCUGACUGACCGAUAGUGAACCAGUACCGUGAGGGAAAGGCGAAAAGAACCCCGGCGAGGGGAGUGAAAAAGAACCUGAAACCGUGUACGUACAAGCAGUGGGAGCACGCUUAGGCGUGUGACUGCGUACCUUUUGUAUAAUGGGUCAGCGACUUAUAUUCUGUAGCAAGGUUAACCGAAUAGGGGAGCCGAAGGGAAACCGAGUCUUAACUGGGCGUUAAGUUGCAGGGUAUAGACCCGAAACCCGGUGAUCUAGCCAUGGGCAGGUUGAAGGUUGGGUAACACUAACUGGAGGACCGAACCGACUAAUGUUGAAAAAUUAGCGGAUGACUUGUGGCUGGGGGUGAAAGGCCAAUCAAACCGGGAGAUAGCUGGUUCUCCCCGAAAGCUAUUUAGGUAGCGCCUCGUGAAUUCAUCUCCGGGGGUAGAGCACUGUUUCGGCAAGGGGGUCAUCCCGACUUACCAACCCGAUGCAAACUGCGAAUACCGGAGAAUGUUAUCACGGGAGACACACGGCGGGUGCUAACGUCCGUCGUGAAGAGGGAAACAACCCAGACCGCCAGCUAAGGUCCCAAAGUCAUGGUUAAGUGGGAAACGAUGUGGGAAGGCCCAGACAGCCAGGAUGUUGGCUUAGAAGCAGCCAUCAUUUAAAGAAAGCGUAAUAGCUCACUGGUCGAGUCGGCCUGCGCGGAAGAUGUAACGGGGCUAAACCAUGCACCGAAGCUGCGGCAGCGACGCUGAUGCGUUGUUGGGUAGGGGAGCGUUCUGUAAGCCUGCGAAGGUGUGCUGUGAGGCAUGCUGGAGGUAUCAGAAGUGCGAAUGCUGACAUAAGUAACGAUAAAGCGGGUGAAAAGCCCGCUCGCUGGAAGACCAAGGGUUCCUGUCCAACGUUAAUCGGGGCAGGGUGAGUCGACCCCUAAGGCGAGGCCGAAAGGCGUAGUCGAUGGGAAACAGGUUAAUAUUCCUGUACUUGGUGUUACUGCGAAGGGGGGACGGAGAAGGCUAUGUUGGCCGGGCGACGGUUGUCCCGGUUUAAGCGUGUAGGCUGGUUUUCCAGGCAAAUCCGGAAAAUCAAGGCUGAGGCGUGAUGACGAGGCACUACGGUGCUGAAGCAACAAAUGCCCUGCUUCCAGGAAAAGCCUCUAAGCAUCAGGUAACAUCAAAUCGUACCCCAAACCGACACAGGUGGUCAGGUAGAGAAUACCAAGGCGCUUGAGAGAACUCGGGUGAAGGAACUAGGCAAAAUGGUGCCGUAACUUCGGGAGAAGGCACGCUGAUAUGUAGGUGAGGUCCCUCGCGGAUGGAGCUGAAAUCAGUCGAAGAUACCAGCUGGCUGCAACUGUUUAUUAAAAAACACAGCACUGUGCAAACACGAAAGUGGACGUAUACGGUGUGACGCCUGCCCGGUGCCGGAAGGUUAAUUGAUGGGGUUAGCGCAAGCGAAGCUCUUGAUCGAAGCCCCGGUAAACGGCGGCCGUAACUAUAACGGUCCUAAGGUAGCGAAAUUCCUUGUCGGGUAAGUUCCGACCUGCACGAAUGGCGUAAUGAUGGCCAGGCUGUCUCCACCCGAGACUCAGUGAAAUUGAACUCGCUGUGAAGAUGCAGUGUACCCGCGGCAAGACGGAAAGACCCCGUGAACCUUUACUAUAGCUUGACACUGAACAUUGAGCCUUGAUGUGUAGGAUAGGUGGGAGGCUUUGAAGUGUGGACGCCAGUCUGCAUGGAGCCGACCUUGAAAUACCACCCUUUAAUGUUUGAUGUUCUAACGUUGACCCGUAAUCCGGGUUGCGGACAGUGUCUGGUGGGUAGUUUGACUGGGGCGGUCUCCUCCUAAAGAGUAACGGAGGAGCACGAAGGUUGGCUAAUCCUGGUCGGACAUCAGGAGGUUAGUGCAAUGGCAUAAGCCAGCUUGACUGCGAGCGUGACGGCGCGAGCAGGUGCGAAAGCAGGUCAUAGUGAUCCGGUGGUUCUGAAUGGAAGGGCCAUCGCUCAACGGAUAAAAGGUACUCCGGGGAUAACAGGCUGAUACCGCCCAAGAGUUCAUAUCGACGGCGGUGUUUGGCACCUCGAUGUCGGCUCAUCACAUCCUGGGGCUGAAGUAGGUCCCAAGGGUAUGGCUGUUCGCCAUUUAAAGUGGUACGCGAGCUGGGUUUAGAACGUCGUGAGACAGUUCGGUCCCUAUCUGCCGUGGGCGCUGGAGAACUGAGGGGGGCUGCUCCUAGUACGAGAGGACCGGAGUGGACGCAUCACUGGUGUUCGGGUUGUCAUGCCAAUGGCACUGCCCGGUAGCUAAAUGCGGAAGAGAUAAGUGCUGAAAGCAUCUAAGCACGAAACUUGCCCCGAGAUGAGUUCUCCCUGACUCCUUGAGAGUCCUGAAGGAACGUUGAAGACGACGACGUUGAUAGGCCGGGUGUGUAAGCGCAGCGAUGCGUUGAGCUAACCGGUACUAAUGAACCGUGAGGCUUAACCUU